AUUUUUAUGUCCAUGGCAUUUGCAGUCCCAUUGCCCUUAUUGCCAUUUUUGCCAUUUCCCUCUUCUCAGAUACUGUUAUGGAGUUUGGCAAAUGUAGUUGAGCUGUGUAGUAAACAACUUCUCUCACAGUAGCAUUGAGAUCAAUCCAUCGUCUUGCAUCACAUAAGCCUGAACUCAUAAAAAUAAAGAACCCUGAUAAGUGAUGAGAAGAUAGUUGCUUAUCAUUUAUCAAUGAAUAUUAAAUCACCACAAAAUAUAGGACAGUUGAAUUAGGUUCAAUUUUUUUUUAUGUGAACGUCACAAAUUAUUUCAUAAAAACCAGAGAAAUGAAGGAUUUGAGGGAUUUGGUUCAUUAGUAUGAAUAAGUUUCGAGCUCAAUGUAAAAACUUUGUUUUGAUAGUAUUAAGUGGUGCUUUAGGGUUAAUAGAGACAAAAUUUUAAAAAGCAAGCCAUAUCAAGUAACCAUCUCCAAAUAGGACAAUGCAUUAUCCACAGAACAUCCUCAAAACAGAUAGAAACCUAUCAAAGGAAAUUAAAUUCCUCGUGCACAAGAGUUAGUCCUUUAGAAGUUUGCUUCAAACUUGGAUGAAUGUGAAUCUCCACCCAACCUUCUAGAGAGCAUGUCUCACCAUAUUUAACGAGAAAUCAGCCAAUACUUGUUGAAUUCAUAACUAAUCACCACAGACAGACAGCCGGAGUUUUGAUUUCAUCUAUAAUAUUACGAAUCAAUUGCAAACCCCAGUGUCUUAGCAAUAUCAUCCCUACCUCCGGUCAUCCAGAUUUUCCUUCUCUUAUUAGGUCCCUUCAAAAUUUUCUUAUUUUCUUUUUUUGCUUGACUAGCAAAGCAGCUAGGUUAUAGUUAACAAAAAGAAACAACUUAAUUACCAAUCCACGGGGAUGACUGCUCCAAAGCCUGUCCUCAAAAGUUUUCCUGCCUGCCUAAAAUACUUUGAAUACUCUAGCAUUUCACUCAAAGAUUGCACAAGCCAACUUGCAGUGUGGAUACGAAAAAGAGUACGUAGAUACGCAAUUUCCUCCCACAUACAUCUACGUCACCCCCGAGAACCUCAAAUCCAACAGCACAGCAAGAACCGCACUGUCCUGUCAUCCUAAAAUUUCCAGGCCACAAAUCGCCACAAAACUACAAUACGCGUGCACACGAGUGAACUAGCAACAAUUUCCACCAAAGUUGCAAUGGCGAAAGCACAACAACGGAAACUAUGAGAUGAUAACUCAGCAAACACCUAAGUGCCAGUGCCGAACACACACACACACACACAGACACGGACUUUAUGCACAAAGACACAAAACACUGACCUGUUAGCGAUCCAAUAAGCUACAAGUACAGCGAAAACAAACAGCCAGACGGAAUUUCUCAUAACAGAGAUUGUAUCGAAAGAAAAGCAGAGACCUUGGAACCAUCUCGGCUCUGACCUAGAGCAAACGAGUCCCGGCGACCCCUGAGCAAGAAC
rnacentral:lncRNA from 1 species